GACAGAGGUGCCGAGCGUUAGGCGGAAUCACUGGGCUUAAAGCGUGUGUAGGCGGACUUCUAAGUACCUUGUGAAAUCCCACGGCUCAACCGUGGAACUGCUUGGUAUACUGGUUGUCUUGAGCCACUUAGGGGCAGUCGGAACAGACGGUGGAGCGGUGAAAUGCGUAGAUAUCGUCUGGAACGCCAAAGGUGAAAACAGGUAGCUGGGGAUGUGCUGACGCUGAGACACGAAAGCCAGGGGAGCAAACGGG
rnacentral:rRNA from 1 species